UGGGGAAUAUUGGACAAUGGGCGAAAGCCUGAUCCAGCCAUGCCGCGUGUGUGAAGAAGGUCUUAUGGUUGUAAAGCACUUUAAGCGAGGAGGAGGGUACUGGUAUUAAUACUACCAGGUACUGGACGUUACUCGCAGAAUAAGCACCGGCUAACUCUGUGCCAGCAGCCGCGGUAAUACAGAGGGUGCGAGCGUUAAUCGGAUUUACUGGGCGUAAAGCGUGCGUAGGCGGCUAAUUGAGUCGGAUGUGAAAUCCCCGAGCUUAACUUGGGAAUUGCAUUCGAUACUGGUUAGCUAGAGUGUGGGAGAGGAUGGUAGAAUUCCAGGUGUAGCGGUGAAAUGCGUAGAGAUCUGGAGGAAUACCGAUGGCGAAGGCAGCCAUCUGGCCUAACACUGACGCUGAGGUACGAAAGCAUGGGGAGCAAACAGG
rnacentral:rRNA from 1 species